rnacentral:rRNA from 1 species
UCUGGGACAAGCCCUGGAAACGGGGUCUAAUACCGGAUACCACUCCUGCCUGCAUGGGCGGGGGUUGAAAGCUCCGGCGGUGAAGGAUGAGCCCGCGGCCUAUCAGCUUGUUGGUGGGGUAAUGGCCCACCAAGGCGACGACGGGUAGCCGGCCUGAGAGGGCGACCGGCCACACUGGGACUGAGACACGGCCCAGACUCCUACGGGAGGCAGCAGUGGGGAAUAUUGCACAAUGGGCGAAAGCCUGAUGCAGCGACGCCGCGUGAGGGAUGACGGCCUUCGGGUUGUAAACCUCUUUCAGCAGGGAAGAAGCGAAAGUGACGGUACCUGCAGAAGAAGCGCCGGCUAACUACGUGCCAGCAGCCGCGGUAAUACGUAGGGCGCAAGCGUUGUCCGGAAUUAUUGGGCGUAAAGAGCUCGUAGGCGGCUUGUCACGUCGGAUGUGAAAGCCCGAGGCUUAACCUCGGGUCUGCAUUCGAUACGGGCUAGCUAGAGUGUGGUAGGGGAGAUCGGAAUUCCUGGUGUAGCGGUGAAAUGCGCAGAUAUCAGGAGGAACACCGGUGGCGAAGGCGGAUCUCUGGGCCAUUACUGACGCUGAGGAGCGAAAGCGUGGGGAGCGAACAGGAUUAGAUACCCUGGUAGUCCACGCCGUAAACGUUGGGAACUAGGUGUUGGCGACAUUCCACGUCGUCGGUGCCGCAGCUAACGCAUUAAGUUCCCCGCCUGG